CAAUAGCGUAUAUUAAAGUUGUUGCAGUUAAAAAGCUCGUAGUUGGAUUUCUGGAUGGAGCGACCGGUCGGGCAUUAAUUUGUCUGCACUGGAGUCGGUUCCGUCCAUCCUCUUGGAAAGUGCGUCGGGCAUUAAGUUGUUUGGCGUAUGAUCCAAGUCGUUUACUGUGAAAAAAUUAGAGUGUUUAAAGCAGGCCUUCGCCUUAAAUACAUUAGCAUGGAAUAAUAAGAUAGGACUUUGGUCUAUUUUGUUGGUUUGCAGACCGAAGUAAUGAUUAAUAGGGAUAGUUGGGGGUAUUUAUAUUCCGAUGUCAGAGGUGAAAUUCUUAGAUUUUCGGAAGAUAAACUUAUGCGAAAGCAUUUACCAAGGAUGUUUUCAUUAA
rnacentral:rRNA from 1 species